rnacentral:rRNA from 1 species
AUUGAACGCUGGCGGCAUGCCUAACGCAUGCAAGUCGAACGGCAGCACGGUCUAGUUUACUAGAUGGGUGGCGAGUGGCGGACGGGUGAGUAAUGCGCAGGAAUAUGCCUUAAAGUGGGGGACAACUUGGGGAAACUCAAGCUAAUACCGCGUAAUCUCUGAGGAGAAAAGCUGGGGACCUUCGGGCCUGGCGCUUUAAGAUUAGCCUGCGUCCGAUUAGCUAGUUGGUAGGGUAAAGGCCUACCAAGGCGACGAUCGGUAGCUGGUCUGAGAGGAUGACCAGCCACACUGGAACUGAGACACGGUCCAGACUCCUACGGGAGGCAGCAGUGGGGAAUAUUGGACAAUGGGGGCAACCCUGAUCCAGCAAUGCCGCGUGUGUGAAGAAGGCCUGAGGGUUGUAAAGCACUUUCAGUGGGGAGGAGGAUUGAUAGGUUAAGAGCUAAUUAAUUGGACGUCACCCACAGAAGAAGCACCGGCUAACUCCGUGCCAGCCGCCGCGGUAA